rnacentral:tmRNA from 1 species
CCCCUUCACACCCGCAUCCACACCCCCUAUAUUCCUGUUGUCCCCUCGGGGACUAUGGACAUAAACGCGCUCGUAAUAAGCGGAUUGGACCCGGGGGCGGUACCCGGCGGCUCCACCAAAGACCCCUCGUUGGGGGGACAGCGGGGCCGAAAUAGGAUCGACAAACGUCUAAAGGGGUUUGCUUUGUCUCGGUGAGGUACCACCGUUAUCGGUCCGUAAAGCAUAAUUGCCAACGACAAUCGUGCUCCGAUCGCUCUCGCCGCUUAAGCGGUGUGAAAGAUCGAAACUUAAGCCCUUGCGCCUAGCCGCGUAAGGCGGGGUUCGCAGGCGCCUGGCAACAGAAGCCUGCACU